UGAAGAGCCGCAUUUAAAACAUUUCCGUUUGUUCUCCUUAUCCGACAUCGUAGCACAUAAAGAGUCACUGUCUCACAAAACACCACGAAAAAGAGUCGCUGUCUCGAAAAUCACUAAAAAAUGAUGAUAUUCUGCACGUUAUCGGAGGAACAGUAGCUCAACUCGACGAUACGGUAAGGAAUAUUCACGAAAUAUUACAGAACAAAAUCAACACCGAUGCGUAAUUGCGUAGGCGCCGCCAUUUUGAAAUGACAGUGACAGACAUUUUUUUUUGUUUUGGUUUUCCCCGAAGGGUAAGGCAAAGGGAACUAUGCCCAUACAGCCAUUUCUUACGUAUUUUUUUUCUUGAUGAUUAAUGAAAUGAUGAACGGUGAUGAUGAUGAAACCUAAGCCCCCACCCUCGGAGUAGACUCCUACUCCGAACCCCAAACGAAUUAACUCAAAAGUCCGCAUAAACUUUUGAGUUAUGGAGCGGCUUCCCGGCACGAAGCGAAAAUAGGCAGAUACACUUUGUUUAUUGAAUACUCCUAUAUAAUAACACUCGCGAAUGUCUUCCGACUAACUUAAUGCGAUUAUUAACCACAAAACACCACUUCGUAUUAAUUAUUUAGAUUACUCAAUGAAGAAAGCAACUGUCCCGUUCCCGUUUCCCGCCGAAAAAACACAGUGACAGACAUCAAGGGAUAGGGUUGCCAGUAUAUUAAUAUAUAUUUAUUUCCAAAAAUUAAGUUUAUGUAUUUUUUAAAUAAUUGGCUUACCAAAAAAAAAUGGUAAUUAUAUAAAUAUUUAAUUGAUCUAACAAAGACUUUGUUUUAUUUUUUAUAUUAGUAAAAAACUCAGCAAUAAUUUUCGGUAUAUGCGCCCUGAAUUCUACUACUCUUACUAAAAGUCUUUCAGAUUAUACAUGGCCACAUUUGUUUUGGCCCCCGUAGGUAUCGAGCUCCCCCCAUACAUUGUUGACACCCGCUGCUUCAGACGACUGAUCCCGUGAAUGACGGGCGAAAUCUUGUAUCGGCGCCGAAUGAGGGACAAACUGCAAUUGAAGAAGAGCCACCACUAAUCAACAUUGAAGAAGAAAAAGAGAAAAAAGAAAUACAACGAAACGAAAGAAGAUCAAGAAGAAAGCUAGACAUAUCAGAGCUAGCAUCGGCGAUAGCCCUCGCUGCCCGCGCCGGUCAAUCAACACCCGCGCCGCGGUAUAUAUCCGAAUUACCGUUAUUUUCGGGGGCUCACCACGAAUGGCUGUCAUAUCAAGCUGCUUACAACGAAUCAAGAAAUUACUACAGUGAAGUAGAAAAUAUCGCAAGGCUCAGAAGAAGUCUAAGAGGGAGAGCACUCGAAGCAGUGAAUUCGUUAUUAAUUGCGAAUCCCAAGCCAGAUGAAGUGGUGAAGACAUUGAAGACAAGAUUUGGCCGGCCCGACGCAAUCGCAAUUUCAGAGAUAGAAAAGUUGAGAAGUUUACCGCGCUGUAGUGAAGCCCCAAGAGAAAUAUGUGCCUUCGCGGGGAAGAUAAGAAACAGUGUGGCAACACUACAGGCAUUAGGAAAAGAACAAUAUAUGUUCAACCCGGAGUUAGUACGUGUUAUCACCGACAAGUUACCAUCGAUUCUGAAGUUUAGAUGGUAUGAGAAAUCGAGUCGGGACAAGAAAGAACCGGAUUUAGUUUGCUUCGCGAACUUCAUUGAUACAGAAGCGGAUUAUUGUAGUCAGUUUGCGCCGCCGGAACAAGUGGACAUGAACGAUAAAUUCAAACAACGUGCAGUUCAGAAAAUUCAUACUCAAGUGAUACAAACGGACAAACCAGUGUUAACGUGCCCGGUAUGUGACAAAUCUCAUUUAGUUCAAAGUUGUGACGUUUUUAAAAAUUCCGAUAUAAACAAUAGAUGGGAACUCGCUAAAAAAUAUAAACUGUGUUUCAAAUGUUUACGUGUUCGAAAGUGGAAACAUUCGUGCAAAAUACAACAGUGCGGAGAACAGGGAUGCCGUGGCACACAUAACAAACUAUUGCAUAACCCGCGAUCAGGAAUUAAAACAAUAACAGUGGAGACAAAUUCGGAAUGUGUAACUACGGCUCGUGCGGAAACAAAGGCAUGUACAUACCUGAAGGUGUUACCAGUGCGUGUCAAAGGACCGGCGGGAGAGAUGUCCGCCCUCGCCCUUCUCGACGACGGGUCAACGGUGACUUUAAUCGAAAGUCAAAUGGCUGAGAGGAUUGGAGCUGAAGGCGUCGAGGAGCCUCUCAUCAUCGAGGCGAUUGGUGACACCAGGAUAAUUACACCGAGAUCAAAACGAGUAAAGAUCGAAAUAACAGGUAUGAAUAAUUACUCUAUCACUUUAAGUGCUCGAACAGUGAAUAGCCUGAAUAUUUCUCCACAAGCCGUUAGUCCCAUUGAUAUUGUCGAUUGUGAUCACUUGAGAGAAUUUAGAAAUGAAAUUAUAUAUGAGGGCGCCAAGCCGACCAUUUUAAUUGGGCAAGAUAACUGGAAUCUGCUUAUAGCUGAUCAGAUUCGAAUUGGCAAAAAGGGACAACCAAUUGCGUCACGAACACCACUCGGAUGGGUGCUUCAUGGGACCAGGACACGCUCAUUAGGUCAGUUAGUUGAUUAUGUAAAUAGAAUUACCGAGGUUAAUUAUUGCAAUAAUGAUAAUGAUAACGAUUGUGCUAAUCAACUAUUAAAACAAUACUUCUCAUUGGAAUCCCUGUUGGUCAACCCGAAACGACCGCUUUCUGACCCCGAGAUGAGGGCAGAAAAGCUACUCCAUGAAAAUACUAAGCGGAGGGAUGACGGCCGCAUUGAAACGUCGCUGUUAUGGCGCCGUGAUGAUAUUGUUAUGCCAAAUAAUUAUGAGAAUGCUUACCGUCGUCUUCUCUCAGUGGAGAAGAAAUUAGACAGGGAACCAGACUUGAAGGUAAGAUACCACGAGGAGAUGAAUGCACUGAUCGAGAAAGGAUAUGCUGAGCCUGCCCCGGAAAACUCGACACCUGGACGUACUUGGUAUUUGCCCCAUUUCGAAGUUCGUACCCCCGCCAAGCCCGGUAAGGUGAGAAUAGUACACGACGCAGCCGCUAAAUAUCGUAAUGUGUGCCUUAAUGAUCAUUUGCUUACUGGUCCAGACUUACUGCAGUCGCUGCCCGGUGUCCUGAUGAGGUUCCGACGCCACCCGAUAGCCGUGACAGCUGAUAUAGCUGAGAUGUUUAUGCAGGUGAAAAUAAGGGAGGAGGAUCGUGACGCCUUGAGAUAUUUGUGGCGCGGUAACGACCGCGACGGGCCGCCACGUGAGUAUAGAAUGUCAUCAUUAAUUUUUGGUGCAUCCAGCUCCCCCUGCACAGCUAUAUUCGCGAAAAAUUGGAACGCGAAAAGGCACGCGGACACACACCCUGAAGCGGUAGCAGCGAUAGAAAAUCAUCAUUAUAUGGAUGAUUAUUUGGAUAGUUUUCCCACUGAAGAAAUUGGAAUUGAAACUGCUUUAUUGGUUCGUAAUAUACAUAGAGAAAGCCACUUUGAAUUAAGAAAAUGGAAUUCCAAUUCGAAGAGGAUUUUGCAAGCUGUCAAAGGAGAACAGCAUACGGAGACUGUCGAUAUAGGACCAAGCUUGAGCAUGGAGAAGGUGCUCGGCUUAGUAUGGAGACCGGAGAAUGACAACCUAGAGUUUAAUCCACAUCUAGCUAGAGUUUCACCAGUCCUAUUGGAAAAUAAAUCCCCUACGAAGCGAGAGGCUUUGAAAAUUGUUAUGUCUCUUUUUGAUCCAUUGGGCUUAGCCUCACCUGUAACAGUGAGAGCUAAGCUAGUUUUACAGGAGGCAUGGAGACGAGGAACUGGCUGGGAUGAAGUCCUUGACGACGACCUGUCAGAGAGAUGGAGCAGAUGGCUGAAUGAUCUCCGAGACGUGUUGCGCCUCACUAUACCACGGUGCUACAAGGGAUACAGCACCGCCGCGAGGAUCGAGAUGCACACGUUCGUCGAUGCAAGUGAGGUUGCCUACGCUGCCGCAGUUUAUUGGAGGAUAACGACCCCAGAUGGUGAGGUACAUUUAUCAUUAGUAUUAGCGAAGGCACGCGUAGCACCUGUGAAGAUAAUGUCCAUCCCACGUCUCGAGUUACAAGCUGCUGUACUGGGAAGCCGUCUUGCCGCCUCAGUUUUAGAAGAACAUCACAUAGAAAUAGAAUCGAAAACUUAUUGGACUGAUAGUAAGACUGUGUUGACUUGGAUAACAUCAGGAUCAAAAUCUUAUAAGCCUUUUGUAGCUCACAGAGUCGCUGCCAUCGAGGAGCAUACAGCAGUGAACGAGUGGCGUUGGGUACCGAGUCGCCUCAACGUGGCAGACAUCGCCACGCGAGAGACAACCCCCUCCUUCACGCAAGCCAGUCCCUGGUUCACCGGUCCUGACUUUCUACGAGAGGGUGAGGCUACCUGGCCUCACGAUAAGCCACCACAACUCGAGAUCACCGGUGAGGAGAGGACCAUGAUACUUACCGAGGUAAGAGAGAGGGCGAGAGCCAGCCAGGCGAUUCCUGACCCAUCACGUUUUUCGCGGUGGGAGAGGCUACAGCGCGCCACUGCUCGAGUAUUACAAUUCUUAGCGCUCUGUCGAGUUGAGAGAACACACUACAAAAGGACUAUGAAAAAAGGCGAUCAAGACCCUGAUUGGAAGAAAACAAGCGCACGUCGAGUUUCGAAACAGAGACCUAUACAUGUUAAUGAUAACAAUGAUAAAAAUUUUCUGCCCUUAGAUGCUUUGUUUAUUCAACAAGCGGAGACUUUGUUGGUACGGGCCAGCCAGGAGGAAGCGUUCCCUGAGGAAGUGCGGGACGUAGAGGACGACAAGGCGGUAUCUUCACAUAGCCGACUACGUUUGUUACCCAUAGAGAUGAGAGUGGGCCGCCAACACCAAAAGCGCUAUGUAGCGCUUUUCACCUGCCUGACCACUCGGGCAGUCCACCUCGAGGUCGCCGCCAGCCUGAGCGCCGACUCCGCGAUCCUCGCUUUGCGGAGGAUGAUAGCGAGGCGAGGCUGUCCGUCUGAGAUUCACUCGGACAAUGGGACCAACAUGCACGGAGCCGACCGAGAGUUGCGACGCGCGCUACAAGAUGAAGCGUCGCAGCGCUCCAUCACGUGGCGAUUCAUCACGCCCUCUGCGCCUUUUAUGGGGGGUGCAUGGGAGCGCCUAGUAAGAACCGUGAAGACUGCCCUGCUGAGCGUCCUACAUGAGAGACAUCCGAGAGAAGAGGUCCUCGCUACUCUGCUCUGUGAGGUAGAGUACUCCGUGAAUAGCCGACCUCUCACGCAUGUGUCGGUAGAAGCCACAGAUGACGAAGCUAUCACACCUAACCACUUCCUGUUGGGUGGUUCUGCUCGUGUCCCACUGCCCGGGACUUUCACCGAAAAGGAUAUAGACCAUCAACUACAAUGGAGGAGAGCUCAAUACUUAGCCGAUCUAUUUUGGAAGAGGUGGCUAAAAGAAUAUUUGCCAGAGCUACAAUACCGGCGGGAGCCACAUGGCCGGGGUCCUUCCAUACAACUCGGGGACCCAGUCCUGAUAGUAGAUGGACAGCUUCCGCGCAACACGUGGCCGCGAGGCCUCGUGGCUGCAGUCUACCCGGGCGCUGACAACGUCGUACGCACAGUAGAGGUCCGCACAGCCGGUGGACUUCUAAAAAGGCCGGUUAAGAAGUUGGUAUUGCUACCAAAAUGAUCGCUCACGCAGAAGAAGACUGCAGAGCCCCGACGAAUCCGGACUCUGCACGGCGGGAGAAAUGUUCGCGAUGAUUGACUUUUUAUUAUUUUUUGUGAAAGACAUUAUGGUGUAAUUUAUGUGAAUAAACAAUUAAAAGUGAAAAUUUGUUAGGAAAUCUUGAUAUCUUCAUUUAGUAUGUGUUAGAGCGAGACGCAAUGCGAAAUAAGGACAAAGAAUUGUGAUAAAAAAGGACUUAAAGAGCAGGACAGACUAUAGAACUUGUGAUUGGAGGAAAAUGAUUUUGAUUAAGUUUUGUUUUUGGGCUAUUUUUGUAUCAUUUUCACUUAGAGUUGUAAGGUUUUUGUUUGAUAAUUAUUGUUUUUUAUAUUUUAUCACUUGAAAUAAUGUUGUUACGUGUAGUUUUAAGUAUGUACCUUCUAAUAAAACUUAUUUUGUUCAUGUUUUUUAUUAACCCAGAGAGAAACAUAGGAAAAAUGAUCCAUUUUUAAGGGACUUUGCCCCAAAUAGCAAUGAAAAUUCUAGAUUACUGAAAUAAUUUUAAAGAGAAACGCUAUUUAUGAUGUAUAUAGAUUAGAAAAGAUUAGGAUCAUUGAAUUAAUAUAGUUUUUGCUUGCCUAUUCUUAUAAGAAAAAUGAUUAUAAGAGAAAAUGUGUCUAACUUAUAGUGAAAAUAAAGAAUCGGAGAAGUGAGGCACACCCAGGAGUGGAAUAGGUACGUCAUUUGUAUAAAAGGAAGUCAUUUCCAAGCAAUCGUGUCAGUUGGUUCCUAUCGCGCGCGCAUACUCGACGUCUCCGGGCUCUCCUGCGGUGCCUCGCUCCUCAUUAGUUUCAAGAUUUGUAAAAUAUGACGCAAGCGAUGCGCGGACGCAUCGUCGUCGAUCCGGUUUGCGCUGGUGCAAUCCGGUUGUGGGUUCUCUGAAGACUUCGUGCGGCGUCGACAAUCGACGGACGACGGAAGGGCGCGUGUCUGUUCUGCC